rnacentral:ncRNA from 1 species
UCUUACAACGGCUUCCUGGCGUGAGAAAACAUAUAUUUGGAGCA